rnacentral:rRNA from 1 species
AACGAACGCUGGCGGCAUGCCUAACACAUGCAAGUCGAACGAGACCUUCGGGUCUAGUGGCGCACGGGUGCGUAACGCGUGGGAACCUGCCCUUAGGUUCGGAAUAACUCCCCGAAAGGGGUGCUAAUACCGGAUAAUGUCUUCGGACCAAAGAUUUAUCGCCUUUGGAUGGGCCCGCGUUGGAUUCGCUAGUUGGUAGGGUAAAAGCCUACCAAGGCGACGAUCCAUAGCUGGUCUGAGAGGAUGAUCAGCCACACUGGGACUGAGACACGGCCCAGACUCCUACGGGAGGCAGCAGUGGGGAAUAUUGGACAAUGGGCAAAAGCCUGAUCCAGCAAUGCCGCGUGAGUGAUGAAGGCCUUAGGGUUGUAAAGCUCUUUUACCCGGGAUGAUAAUGACAGUACCGGGAGAAUAAGCUCCGGCUAACUCCGUG